UUAAGUUCAGCGGGUAUUCCUACCUGAUCCGAGGUCAACCUUGAGAAGGGGGUGUUUCACGGCAAGAACCCGCUGCACGUCCAAAGCGAGAUUGUAUUACUACGCUCGGUGUGACAGCGAGCCCGCCACUGGUUUUCAGGGCCUGCGACAGCCGCAGGUCUCCAACACAAGCCCGGGGGCUUGAUGGUUGAAAUGACGCU
rnacentral:misc_RNA from 1 species